UAUUUGACUAGUUCCUAUUACUUCAGCAAGCCAAGCAUAAGAAUGGCAUAAGGGAUACAGGGUAUAGCAGAAGUCUGUCUUUUUAUUUUAUUCGAAUAUAAAUGAUGCAGCACAUAAUAAUACUUUAUUUAAUUGUGUUUACUACGAAUAGAUCUAUGAACUGCAGUAGUCCACAACAGAGAUCAGCAAGCAGGGCAGGAAAGCAAAGGUGGACACACACGUUUUGUAAUGAUGGGCAUCUCGGACCACUGAUUCAUGCAUUUGUCAUCUCUAGCCUAAACUUCUGUAACUGGAGGGGAAUCUGAAACCCGUGAACGGACCAGAAUGUGACUACUGACUUUUUCCGUGGUGUGAGGUGCCUUUAGCACAGUAUAUCCAAACUCAAGUCCCUCAGCAGGCGCUCCCACUUUCUCACAGUACCUGUUGAACAGCCUUGGCCCUCAUUUUCACAGCAACUGAAGGAACUUCAGUGACAGAUGCAUAUCUCUGAUGUGCUUUAGAUCAGGACACUCAGGAAGAAAAUGUGUGAGACCUAUUCACAAUGUGAUUCGGCUUUUGCUUUUCUGUAUCUGCACCCCUUGCCAAGGUAAUUCUGUCAUGGAAUGAUCUGCUGG
ensembl:lncRNA